UACGAAGGGGGCUAGCGUUGUUCGGAGUUACUGGGCGUAAAGGGCGCGUAGGCGGCCCUCCAAGUCGGGCGUGAAAGCCCACGGCUCAACCGUGGAAUUGCGCUCGAGACUGAAGGGCUCGAGGACGGGAGAGGAUGGUGGAAUUCCCAGUGUAGAGGUGAAAUUCGUAGAUAUUGGGAAAGAACACCGGUGGCGAAGGCGGCCAUCUGGACCGUAUCUGACGCGUGAGGCGCGGAAAGCGUGGGGAGCAAACAGGG
rnacentral:rRNA from 1 species